rnacentral:rRNA from 1 species
CCUGCAGGAAAGGACAUCAACCGAGACUCCGCAAGUAGUGGCGAGCGAACGCGGACCAGGCCAGUGGCAAUGAGGAAUAAAGUGGAACGAUUUGGAAAGAUCGGCCGUAGCGGGUGACAGCCCCGUACACGUAGAACACUCAUUGUCCUUGAGUAAGGCGGGACACGAGAAAUCCUGUCUGAACAUGGGGAGACCACUCUCCAAGCCUAAGUACUCGUGCAUGACCGAUAGCGAACAAGUACCGUGAGGGAAAGGUGAAAAGCACCCCGACAAGGGGAGUGAAAUAGAACCUGAAACCGGAUGCCUACAAACAGUCGGAGCCCGCAAGGGUGACGGCGUACCUUUUGUAUAAUGGGUCAACGACUUAGUGUGACAUGCAAGCUUAAGCCGGUAGGUGGAGGCGUAGCGAAAGCGAGUCUGAACAGGGCGCCUUAGUAUGUCGCAUUAGACCCGAAACCGAGUGAUCUAGCCAUGAGCAGGUUGAAGGUUGGGUAACACCAACUGGAGGACCGAACCCGCAUCUGUUGCAAUAGAUUGGGAUGACUUGUGGCUAGGGGUGAAAGGCCAAUCAAACUCGGAAAUAGCUGGUUCUCCGCGAAAUCUAUUUAGGUAGAGCGUCGACCGAAUACCCCCGGGGGUAGAGCACUGGAUGGGCUAUGGGGACUCACCGUCUUACUGAUCCUAACCAAACUCCGAAUACCGGGGAGUACUAGUCGGCAGACACACGGCGGGUGCUAACGUCCGUCGUGAAGAGGGCAACAACCCUGACCUCCAGCUAAGGUCCCCAAGUCAUGGCUAAGUGGGAAAGGAUGUGAGGAUCCCAAAACAACCAGGAUGUUGGCUUAGAAGCAGCCAUCAUUUAAAGAAAGCGUAACAGCUCACUGGUCUAAACAAGGGUCUUUGCGCCGAAAAUGUAACGGGGCUAAAGCCAUGCACCGAAGCUGAGGAUGUAUCUUAAAGAUACGUGGUAGCGGAGCGUUCCGUAAGCCAGUGAAGGGAUACCCGUGAGGGGUCCUGGAGGUAUCGGAAGUGCGAAUGUUGACAUGAGUAACGAUAAAGAGGGUGAGAGACCCUCUCGCCGAAAGACCAAGGGUUCCUGCUUAAAGUUAAUCUGAGCAGGGUUAGCCGGCCCCUAAGACGAGGCGGACACGCGUAGUCGAUGGGAACCACGUUAAUAUUCGUGGGCCUGGUGGUAGUGACGGAUCGCUUAACUUGUCAGGACUUAUUGGAUUGUCCUGGCCUGGACGCGGUCCCGGGAAAUAGCUCCACCAUAUAGACCGUACCCGAAACCGACACAGGUGGUCAGGUAGAGUAUACCAAGGCGCUUGAGAGAACUGCGUUGAAGGAACUCGGCAAAUUGCACGCGUAACUUCGGAAGAAGCGUGACCCCAUUAUGGGCAACCAUGAUGGGGUGGCACAGACCAGGGGGUAGCGACUGUUUAUCAAAAACACAGGGCUCUGCGAAGUCGCAAGACGACGUAUAGGGUCUGACGCCUGCCCGGUGCUGGAAGGUUAAGAGGAGGGGUGCAAGCUCUGAAUCGAAGCCCCAGUAAACGGCGGCCGUAACUAUAACGGUCCUAAGGUAGCGAAAUUCCUUGUCGGGUAAGUUCCGACCUGCACGAAUGGCGUAACGACUUCCCCGCUGUCUCCAACGCAGACUCAGUGAAAUUGAAUUCCCCGUGAAGAUGCGGGGUUCCUGCGGUCAGACGGAAAGACCCCGUGCACCUUUACUAUAGCUUUACACUGGCAUUCGUGUCGGCAUGUGUAGGAUAGGUGGUAGGCUUUGAAGCAGGGACGCCAGUUCCUGUGGAGCCGUCCUUGAAAUACCACCCUUAUCGUCAUGGAUGUCUAACCGCGGUCCGUCAUCCGGAUCCGGGACAGUGUAU